rnacentral:rRNA from 1 species
AGAGUUUGAUUCUGGCUCAGGAUGAACGCUAGCUACAGGCUUAACACAUGCAAGUCGAGGGGCAGCAUUGGAGUAGCAAUACUCAGAUGGCGACCGGCGCACGGGUGAGUAACACGUAUCCAACCUGCCGCUUACUCGGGGAUAGCCUUUCGAAAGAAAGAUUAAUACCCGAUGGUAUAAAGAGUUCGCAUGUUCUCUUUAUUAAAGAAUUUCGGUAAGCGAUGGGGAUGCGUUCCAUUAGAUAGUUGGCGGGGUAACGGCCCACCAAGUCUACGAUGGAUAGGGGUUCUGAGAGGAAGGUCCCCCACAUUGGAACUGAGACACGGUCCAAACUCCUACGGGAGGCAGCAGUGAGGAAUAUUGGUCAAUGGACGAGAGUCUGAACCAGCCAAAGUAGCGUGAAGGAUGACUGCCCUAUGGGUUGUAAACUUCUUUUAUAAGGGAAUAAAGUGAGGGACGUGUCCCUUUUUGUAUGUACCUUAUGAAUAAGGAUCGGCUAACUCCGUGCCAGCCGCAGC